UGCCCCUCUUCAGAUGUAAAUCAGGCCA
rnacentral:piRNA from 1 species